AUGUCAUCCAAUGAGCUGAGUGCUCCGGAGCUGGACCCCUGCAUUCGUACCUUUAAGGAGCACAUGCAUUUGGAGCUGGAGCCUCCGAGACUGGGUGCAGGCAACAAGCGCAUCACCUCCCCCAAAAUAUCUCCCCGCAGCUCCCCACGCCUCUUCCGCAAGCUCAUGGUUAACAAGGGCGUCCGCCACAGGCGCCGAUUCACCGUCGCACACACCUGUUUCGAUGUGGAAAAUGGCCCAUCUGCAAGCUGUAGUCCUUUGGACCCCCAGGCCUCACCAGGUUCUGGUCUGGUUCUGCACACAAACUUUCCCGGCCACAACCAGCGGCGAGAGUCCUUCCUCUACCGCUCAGACAGCGACUAUGACCUCUCACCAAAGUCGAUGUCUCGAAAUUCUUCUAUCGCCUCAGAACUGCAUGGGGAUGACUUGAUAGUCACACCUUUUGCUCAGGUAAACACAUCAGUGUCAUGUUUCUUUAAGGAUAACAUUUCAAACGGACACGAGUCCUACCAGAAGCUGGCAGUGGAGACCAUGGAGGAGCUGGACUGGUGUCUGGAUCAGCUGGAAACCAUCCAGACGUACCGCUCUGUCAGCGACAUGGCCUCCAACAAGUUCAAGAGAAUGUUGAACAGGGAGCUGACGCACCUCUCUGAGAUGAGCAGAUCUGGCAAUCAGGUGUCGGAAUUCAUCUCCAACACCUUCCUAGAAAAGCAGAAUGACGUGGAGAUUCCCUCACCUACACUUAAAGCCCGCGAGAAGAAGAAAAAGCAGCAGUUGAUGACUCAGAUCAGUGGUGUGAAGAAAGUAUCUCACGGGCCCAGCCUCAACUGCGGCAUUGCUCGCUUCGGCGUCAAAACCGACAAAGAGGAUUUACUGUCAAAAGAAUUAGAAGACCUGAACAAAUGGGGCCUGAACAUCUUUACGGUUUCAGAGUAUUCUCACAACCGGCCUCUCACUUGCAUUAUGUACGCCAUCUUCCAGGAACGAGACUUGCUUAAGACAUUUAAGAUCCCGGCAGAUACUUUUGUGAUGUACAUGAUGACCCUUGAGGAUCAUUACCACCAAGAUGUGGCCUAUCAUAACAGCCUUCACGCUGCUGAUGUGGCCCAGUCAACUCACAUUCUGCUGUCCACACCUGCUUUAGAUGCUGUGUUCACGGAUCUUGAGAUCUUGGCAGCCAUUUUUGCAGCAGCUAUUCAUGAUGUGGACCAUCCUGGAGUUUCAAACCAGUUCCUCAUCAAUACAAACUCUGAGUUAGCGCUCAUGUACAACGAUGAGUCCGUUUUGGAGAACCACCACUUAGCCGUGGGCUUUAAACUUCUCCAAGAGGACAACUGCGACAUCUUCCAGAACCUCACUAAGAAACAGAGGCAGUCACUCCGAAAGAUGGUCAUCGACAUGGUACUUGCCACAGACAUGUCUAAGCACAUGAGCUUACUGGCCGAUCUGAAGACCAUGGUAGAGACGAAGAAAGUGACAAGCUCAGGAGUUUUACUUCUGGACAACUACACAGACAGGAUACAGGUCUUGAGGAACAUGGUUCACUGCGCCGAUCUGAGCAAUCCCACCAAGUCUCUAGAGUUGUACCGGCAGUGGACCGACCGCAUCAUGGACGAGUUCUUUCACCAGGGUGACAGAGAGAGGGAGCGUGGCAUGGAGAUCAGCCCCAUGUGUGACAAACACACUGCCUCAGUAGAGAAAUCACAGGUUAUACCAUAUUUGACGUACAACGUCGAAGAAGAAGACAGAGGGGAAGAAAUGGAAUCCACUACACACAUCCAGAUAGUUACCGAAGACGCAUCACCUGUCGACACAUAG
ensembl:lncRNA